rnacentral:rRNA from 1 species
GACGACCCUUCGGGGAGCCUCUACAGGUGUUGCAUGGCUGUCGUCAGCUCGUGUCGUGAGAUGUUCGGUUAAGUCCGCUAACGAGCGCAACCCUCGCUGUGUGUUACAAGUGUCACACGGUACUGCCGAUAUUAAGUCGGAGGAAGGUGGGGAUGGCGUCAAGUCAGCAUGACCUUUAUAUCCAGGGCUACACACACGCUACAAUGGCCAGUACAAUGGGUUGCCAAGCCGCGAGGCGGAGCCAAUCCUAAAAAGCUGGCCUCAGUUCAGAUUGCAGUCUGCAACUCGACUGCAUGAAGUUGGAGUUGCUAGUAACCGCAGGUCAGCAAUACUGCGGUGAAUACGUUCCCGGGAUU